CAAAACCUCAUUUUUCUAUUAGCAAAAACAAGGCAGAUAACCCCAGUUGAUAUAAAAACAGUCACCACCUUUUCUUGUCUUGAUCUCUGAAGAAAACAUCCAUUUAUUCUAUUAGCUGAUCAGGUGGUAAGCUGAUGAUCAGGUAAUCAUUUGUAAGUGCUUUUAUUUCAGCAAAUGGGGGAUGUACCUUGCUCUAGCUACAGCAAUGGCAGCUUUUUCUGACCACAUGCCAGGAGGCUAAAAACAUGCCUGACUAAUAUAGAUAGGCAAUGCUGCGUCUGUCUAUGAAAAUCUGUCAUUUUAAGGGGGGCAGAAGUUUAAGCACAGUGACAGAAUGAGGGAGGCAGUCUACAAGACAGGGUGGAAGAGGUAUACUAAAGUCUCUCACUAGUUCUGUGCCUGUAGAUUAUUACAUUAAAGGUUUAAUUCAGCAAGCUACUUGCUUGCUUCACCUGAGAUGUUGUCCUAUUAAAGAGAAUGGGAGUAUUUACAUGGUUAGUGUUAAGUGAGGGUACCUGUAUCUUGCUGAAUUAAACACUUUUAGAGCAAAUGAAUUAUAAUCACCCUGGAGCUCUAUUUACACUUGUUCCUUUUUCCCUUGGCAUGAUGCCCAACAGCUGUACCACCGAGAGGAGUUAUCAGCUCUAACUGUCCUUCACCUCCCUCCCUGCUGGAAGGGACUGGUCCCUUUGAUCUGCUGACAGAGCCAUUGCAGUGAUUCAUUUAAAGUGACAUCGGUUAGCUUAAACAGUUGUUUUUUUGCUAACUUGGCUCUUUUAGACUGAAAGGAAUUAGGGAGCUUGCUAGCCUCCUUCCCUAGCUCAGCUGUUUAUGGGCUGCACACAUGUUGGCACAGUUGGAGUAUCACCUCUGGCUCUGGCAGCUACAGCAUCUCAGCCCAUCACAGCUUUGCAAUUUCCAGCUGAAAUUCUGUUCUCAUUUUGUUGCUAUUUACAGUUUGCAAUGUGAAAAUAUAACACAGCUGAUGUUGGAUUUACGCUGGCCCAUCAAGUUGGUGAUGUCGUUUCUUUCCUCUACGUUCGAAGCCUUCGCCUUAAGGACUUUUCUUUAAUUAUGGGAUUCUAUUUCAGAAAAGGAAAACAGUUUUAAGAAUAAUUCGCAGUGCAAAUCUCUUGCAUCUGGCUAGUUACAAUGUUCAGACUGGACUUUCUCCCUUUCUGAUUAUCUAUUUUCCAGGGUAAAAUGGAUCAACUGUGUAGUUGAGGGAAAUCUUGAUCAAUUUGGUAAGAAAUGCCCAUAGUGCCUAUGGUGAUUUGCAAUGGUCUUAAGUAUAGAAGACAGAGCAGCUGACUGAAAUUCACAGGGAGAAAAGUGACAUAGCUGUUAUCCUGCAAGUGAGACCAACCCAUAAGAGAGAAGUAGUAAUAAUUUUUGCCCACACAUUUCCCAUAAUUUGACCUACAUGUUGAGAAGAAAAUCCUGAAAUCCUUUGUUAUCAAUUGUUUCUUCAAGCUUUUAUAUUUUCCUUGACAUUUGGCUUACUCAGUAGGCCUGCCUUGUGAAUGAGUUCAUUAAGGACUGUGGUAUCUCGACAUCAGAGUGCUGUUAAAUGUACCUGAGGAUAUCAUGUGGGAAAUGAAAUGUUUUCUUGAAACUUUGUUCCAAAAUGUUUUUAUUUUUUUUAUUACUGACCUGACAGUAAUGGUGGUGUUCUUGAACUGAGCUAUGUAUUUGGGUUUGUCUUAAAACCAACCAACAAAAAAUCACUGAGAAUCUUUAAUAUUCAUGCCCUAAACACUGGAGGGAGACGGGGGAUCCAGACCAAAACCCAUGAAUGUAUUUCUUUUUAUUUGGUGUACAGAUAUGUGGCUCUCUUUCUUCAGUGUAAAGUUCCUUUAACAUAUUGGAAUACUUAAUAUAUUGAUUAUUUAAAAUUAUUGAAAAGUUCACCGCGCCUCUUGAAUGUUCAAUUCCUUUACCAUUCCCCUAGGCAAUGGCUGCAUUUAUGUUGCACUUAAAGCUAAGAUGACCUCUUUCUGGAGGCACAGUCAGCACACUUUUUCUUUUAGUGAAAAGAAAUUAGAAUGCAAAAGUAAAGGAGAUGAUGAACAUAAAACCUUAAAUGCUGGUAAAAUUGUGAAGUAGCAUGUAUGAAUUAGAUGGAAAGAGGUUACUCCCUAAUUUCUCUCUAAAAAGUUGCAUUUUGUGACUUCUGGUGGCUGAAACAUCUUUAGGGUUAAGAAAAGUUUUAGAACUAGAGGAGAUCACUUGAUAACUCCAGUAUUUGCAGAGCUCUGGAUAAUUAAACUCCUCGUUUCUAUUUGGUAGAGGAAGAACAGUGAGUACUUUGAAUUUCACUCUCAUUGCAUUUCAGCACUCUUUGGCAUCUCUUACAGAUUCAUUACAAAGACUGAGUGGACAAGGAAGAGGCAGUUGCUGUAGCAGCCAGUGGCUGUAGAGGAAUAAAAAAAAAAUGUUGGGGAGGAUGAAAUAGUGG
rnacentral:lncRNA from 1 species